UACGUAGGGUGCAAGCGUUGUCCGGAAUUAUUGGGCGUAAAGAGCUCGUAGGCGGUUUGUCGCGUCUGCUGUGAAAUCCCGAGGCUCAACCUCGGGCUUGCAGUGGGUACGGGCAGACUAGAGUGCGGUAGGGGAGAUUGGAAUUCCUGGUGUAGCGGUGGAAUGCGCAGAUAUCAGGAAGAACACCAACGGCGAAGGCAGCUCGCUGGGACGGAACUGACGCUGGAGGCGCGAAAGCGUGGGGAGCGAACAGG
rnacentral:rRNA from 1 species